AAUGAACGCUGGCGGCAGGCCUAACACAUGCAAGUCGAACGGAUCCUUCGGGAUUAGUGGCGGACGGGUGAGUAACGCGUGGGAACAUACCCAAAGGUACGGAAUAGCCUCGGGAAACUGGGAGUAAUACCGUAUGUGCUCGAAAGAGGAAAGAUUUAUCGCCUUUGGAUUGGCCCGCGUUGGAUUAGGUAGUUGGUGGGGUAAUGGCCUACCAAGCCGACGAGCCAUAGUUGGUUUGAGAGGAUGAUCAGCCACACUGGGACUGAGACACGGCCCAAGCUCCUACGGGAGGCAGCAGUAGGGAAUCUUAGACAAUGGGGGAAACCCUGAUCUAGCCAUGCCGCGUGAUCGAUGAAGGCCUUAGGGUUGUAAAGAUCUUUCAGGUGGGAAGAUAAUGACUGUACCACCAGAAGAAGCCCCGGCUAACUCCGUGCCAGCCGCCGCGGUAA
rnacentral:rRNA from 1 species